GUGCGACGUGAAGUCGUCUGAGUAAUUGUUCCAACGGGGGCAAUCCCGGCGAGGAACCUGGUGUUCCGUCAUCAGUAGCCUACCGGCACAUGCAGGACUGAUAACGGUCUUGUGUGAAGCUGCCGGGACAAUGUAGCUGGGCCUUCGGGCCGCGCCAACGCCGUGAGGCAAGGCGUUAUCUGCGAGCAUCAAUGCGGGUACGGCGCUAGGCUGGGUGGUAUGACCAACGAAAGUGAACUGCUGUUAAACACCGUUAUGAAUGACAAGCCAAAGAUGCUGACAGGCUUGAACCAAAAGGUAUGCGGUCGGUUGCCCUUUAUCCGUUUUGGGGGCACACGGACAUCAUGACCGCCGGUGGAAAGGCAGGGUCUAACCCAUCUCGUUACUCAGGUGAAACACGGUAAGCCCGUAUCGCUGCCCCUCGGGGCAGGCAGACCGUAAGGAAUGCUGUUGGUGGUGCGGGUAAAGGAAUGUGGAGAAAGCGAAUGCCGCCCUGUAAUGGGGCGGAUAGGGGUUGAGCCGCAAGGCAACAUCAUCCCACGCGAAAGCGGGCAGACUUCCACUUGGUCUUUCUCUACGAGAGAGUUUGUCUAACCUUCUUCAAGAGGGAAUUGCAGAUGACUACGCAAGAAAUUGCUUGCGCGGGUGCGCCCUCACACGAAUCGGUCAACUGGCACAGCAUCGACUGGGCCAGGUGUCACCGUGAAGUGCGAAGGCUCCAAGCGCGUAUCGUAAAGGCGACUCGGGAAGGGAAACACGGCAAGGUGAAAGCCUUGCAAUGGAUUCUGACCCACUCGUUCAGCGGCAAAGCAUUGGCCGUCAGACGAGUCACCGAGAACCAAGGCAAGAAGACGCCGGGCGUGGAUGGCAUCACGUGGUCCACCCCGGAAGCCAAGUCUCAAGCCAUGUUGUCAAUCAAGCGGCGCGGGUAUCGUCCCCAACCGCUGAAGCGUGUCUAUAUUCCCAAAACCAAUGGGAAGAUGCGGCCGCUGGGUAUCCCGACCAUGAAAGACAGGGCGAUGCAGGCGCUAUACCUGCUGGCUCUCGAACCCGUGGCCGAGACCACAGCGGACGGACGCUCGUUUGGGUUCCGACCCGAAAGGUCUACGGCGGACGCCAUCGAACAGUGCUUCACGACGCUGUCCAAGAAGGUGGCUCCGCAAUGGAUUCUCGAAGGCGACAUCAAAGGCUGCUUCGACAACAUCAGCCAUGACUGGCUUAUGGGUCAUGUACCGACGGAUCGCGAGAUUCUGAGGAAGUGGCUCAAGGCUGGAUACAUGGAAGAUCGGCAACUUUUUCCAACCGAAGCCGGUACCCCGCAAGGGGGCAUCAUCUCGCCAACCCUGGCGAAUCUCGUCCUCGACGGACUGGAAGCCAAACUGGAUGCCGCGUUCGGAAGAAAGCGGUACGCCAACGGUGUACAGACCCGUUUGAUGGUCAACUAUGUGCGGUAUGCGGACGACUUCAUUGUGACGGGACGCUCGAAAGAGCUACUGGAGCAGGAGGUCAUGCCGAUCAUCAAGGACUUCAUGCAGGAACGGGGGCUCACGCUCUCACCCGAGAAGACCAAGAUCACGCACAUCGACGACGGCUUCGACUUCCUCGGACAAAACGUGCGCAAGUACAACGGCAAGCUGUUGAUCAAGCCGUCGAAAGCGAACGUGGCGACCUUCUUGGAGAAAGUGCGCUCGGCGGUCAAAGGCAACAAGGCGCUGGAUCAGCCUCGGCUGAUUCGGAUGCUCAACCCAAUGAUCCGCGGCUGGGCGAAUUAUCACCAGCACGUCGUAUCCAAAGCGACGUUCGCGCGUGUCGAUCACGAGAUUUGGCGUGUGUUGUGGCAGUGGGCCGUUCGUCGGCAUCCGCAGAAGAGCAGCGUCUGGAUCAAACAGCGCUACUUCCAUUCCGUCGGCACCCGUAACUGGGUGUUUGCGGCGGCGACAGGCGAAAGGUUCCCUGACGGGAAUCCGAUCCUGACGUCACUGCGGAAAGCAACGGAUACGCCCAUUCGGCGACACCGGCCAAUCAAGUUGGAGGCCAACCCCUUCGACCCGAUGUGGGAAACGUACUUUGAGGAGCGUAUGAGCCUCAAGAUGCAGAACUCGCUGAGGGGCAGGAAGAAGCUCAUCAACCUCUGGUUGGAUCAGGAUCGUCGUUGUCCAAUCUGCGGCGAAUUGAUCACGCAGGAGUCGGGGUGGCAUGUCCAUCACAUCAUCCGGCGGGUCGAUGGCGGAAAGGACGGGAGUACCAACCUCGUGAUGGUGCAUCCGAACUGUCAUAACCAGAUCCACGUCAAUGGUCUCAAGGUGGUGAAGCCGGCUCGCGAAAGCGGGCUUUGAAAGGCUUGAGCCGUAUGAGGGGAAACUCUCACGUACGGUUCUUAGGGGGGGAUGGGCCAGCAAUGGCUUGUCCCUACCCGAC
rnacentral:ncRNA from 1 species